rnacentral:other from 1 species
AGGUCGCUGCCUGGUUCGUCAGGUCGCAAUAAUCCCCAGGGCCGAUAAUCUAGACUCUCGGGAGCUGUCCCUGUCCGGACCGUGGUCCGGGUACACGGCGCCCACCUGCUCUGCAGGUCAUGGAGGAUAGGCACAUGCCAACGGCCAAGGCGGCACCUUC